rnacentral:rRNA from 1 species
UACGUAGGGUGCAAGCGUUAAUCGGAAUUACUGGGCGUAAAGCGUGCGCAGGCGGCUUUGCAAGACAGAUGUGAAAUCCCCGGGCUUAACCUGGGAACUGCAUUUGUGACUGCAUGGCUAGAGUGUGGCAGAGGGGGGUGGAAUUCCACGUGUAGCAGUGAAAUGCGUAGAUAUGUGGAGGAACACCGAUGGCGAAGGCAGCCCCCUGGGUUAACACUGACGCUCAUGCACGAAAGCGUGGGGAGCAAACAGG